GUCAGAGUGUCGUAGUGGAUAAGGAUGUGGUCAUGUAGGCAAAAGAUCAUGGGUUCAAUUCCCGUCGUCGGCA